rnacentral:rRNA from 1 species
GAAGGGAGCUUGCUCCUGGAUUCAGCGGCGGACGGGUGAGUAAUGCCUAGGAAUCUGCCUGGGAGUGGGGGACAACGUUUCGAAAGGAACGCUAAUACCGCAUACGUCCUACGGGAGAAAGCAGGGGACCUUCGGGCCUUGCGCUAUCAGAUGAGCCUAGGUCGGAUUAGCUAGUUGGUGAGGUAAUGGCUCACCAAGGCGACGAUCCGUAACUGGUCUGAGAGGAUGAUCAGUCACACUGGAACUGAGACACGGUCCAGACUCCUACGGGAGGCAGCAGUGGGGAAUAUUGGACAAUGGGCGAAAGCCUGAUCCAGCCAUGCCGCGUGUGUGAAGAAGGUCUUCGGAUUGUAAAGCACUUUAAGUUGGGAGGAAGGGUUGUAGAUUAAUACUCUGCAAUUUUGACGUUACCGACAGAAUAAGCACCGGCUAACUCUGUGCCAGCAGCCGCGGUAAUACAGAGGGUGCAAGCGUUAAUCGGAAUUACUGGGCGUAAAGCGCGCGUAGGUGGUUCGUUAAGUUGGAUGUGAAAUCCCCGGGCUCAACCUGGGAACUGCAUCCAAAACUGGCGAGCUAGAGUAUGGUAGAGGGUGGUGGAAUUUCCUGUGUAGCGGUGAAAUGCGUAGAUAUAGGAAGGAACACCAGUGGCGAAGGCGACCACCUGGACUGAUACUGACACUGAGGUGCGAAAGCGUGGGGAGCAAACAGGAUUAGAUACC